rnacentral:piRNA from 1 species
UGCCAGAAUGACCGCGUCCCCCAUACC